GCUCAGGCUUACACAUGCAAGUCGAGGGGCAUCAGUUUGGUUUGCUUGCAAACCAAAGCUGGCGACCGGCGCACGGGUGAGUAACACGUAUCCAACCUGCCUCAUACUCGGGGAUAGCCUUUCGAAAGAAAGAUUAAUAUCCGAUAGCAUAUAUUUCCCGCAUGGGUUUUAUAUUAAAGAAAUUCGGUAUGAGAUGGGGAUGCGUUCCAUUAGUUUGUUGGGGGGGUAACGGCCCACCAAGACUACGAUGGAUAGGGGUUCUGAGAGGAAGGUCCCCCACAUUGGAACUGAGACACGGUCCAAACUCCUACGGGAGGCAGCAGUGAGGAAUAUUGGUCAAUGGACGCGAGUCUGAACCAGCCAAGUAGCGUGAAGGAUGACUGCCCUAUGGGUUGUAAACUUCUUUUAUAUGGGAAUAAAGUUGUCCACGUGUGGAUUUUUGUAUGUACCAUAUGAAUAAGGAUCGGCUAACUCCGUGCCAGCAGCCGCGGUAAUACGGAGGAUCCGAGCGUUAUCCGGAUUUAUUGGGUUUAAAGGGAGCGUAGGCGGAUUGUUAAGUCAGUUGUGAAAGUUUGCGGCUCAACCGUAAAAUUGCAGUUGAUACUGGCAGUCUUGAGUGCAGUAGAGGUGGGCGGAAUUCGUGGUGUAGCGGUGAAAUGCUUAGAUAUCACGAAGAACUCCGAUUGCGAAGGCAGCUCACUGGAGUGUAACUGACGCUGAUGCU
rnacentral:rRNA from 1 species